rnacentral:rRNA from 1 species
UACGGGGGGGGCAAGCGUUGUUCGGAAUUACUGGGCGUAAAGGGCUCGUAGGCGGCCAACUAAGUCGGAUGUGAAAUCCCCAGGCUCAACCUGGGAACUGCAUCCGAUACUGGAUGGCUUGAAUCCGGGAGAGGGAUGCAGAAUUCCAGGUGUAGCGGUGAAAUGCGUAGAUAUGGGGAGGAACACCGGUGGCGAAGGCGGCCACCUGGACGGUAACUGACGCUGAGGAGCGAAAGCGUGGGGAGCGAACAGG